AAACAAAUACAUCCGUGAUUUACACUGGAAAUUUUUCAAUUUAAUUUUGUUUUAAAAUUAGAUUAGAUUAAUUUUCUAUCUGAUUUUUAAUUCGAAACGGACAUAGCUCAUCUGGUUUUGGGUCACAAAAGCUUCCAAAGCUUCAAGUUUCAACCAUCAUCACUCAUUCCCAUGCACCCCCCCCUUCAGCUCCAUGUGAUAUCCUUCACAUGCUCCAUCCAUGUUGUCUUACAACUCCAUCCACGUGUCACCAAGCAUGAACGAAAAAUGGCAACAAAACCCAUAUAUGAAUUGCUAACCCAAGCAAGAGCCAAGAAUGAU
rnacentral:misc_RNA from 1 species